rnacentral:rRNA from 1 species
UCAUGGCUCAGAAUCAACGCCGGCGGCGUGCCUAACACAUGCAAGUCGGACGAGAAAGUGGGAGCAAUCCUGCGAGUACAGUGGCAGACGGGUGAGUAACACGUGAACAACCUACCCUUGAGUGGGGAAUAACACCGCGAAAGCGGUGCUAAUACCGCAUAAAAUCUUUAGGCUGCAUGGUCUGGAGAUCAAGAGCGAAAGUUGCUUGAGGAGGGGUUCGCGGCUGAUUAGCUAGUUGGUGAGGUAACGGCCCACCAAGGCAACGAUCAGUAGCCGGCCUGAGAGGGCGAACGGCCACACUGGAACUGAGACACGGUCCAGACUCCUACGGGAGGCAGCAGUGGGGAAUUUUGCGCAAUGGGCGAAAGCCUGACGCAGCAACGCCGCGUGGAGGAUGAAGGCCUUCGGGUCGUAAACUCCUGUCGAUGGGGACGAAGUCCUGAAAGGGAUUGACUGUACCCGUUGAGGAAGCCACGGCUAACUCCGUGCCAGCAGCCGCGGUAAUACGGAGGUGGCAAGCGUUGUUCGGAAUUACUGGGCGUAAAGGGCGCGUAGGCGGCCUGACAAGUCAGAUGUGAAAGCCCCGGGCUCAACCCGGGAAUUGCAUCUGAAACUGUUGGGCUUGAGUUCUGGAGGGGAUGGUGGAAUUCCCAGUGUAGCGGUGAAAUGCGUAGAUAUUGGGAGGAACACCUGCGGCGAAGGCGGCCAUCUGGACAGUGACUGACGCUGAGGCGCGAAAGCUAGGGGAGCGAACGGGAUUAGAUACCCCGGUAAUCCUAGCUGUAAACGAUGGGCACUUGGUGUUGGGGGUAUUGAGUCCCUCGGUGCCGGAGCUAACGCGAUAAGUGCCCCGCCUGGGGAGUACGGUCGCAAGACUGAA